CCCUGGGUUCAGUCCCCAGCUCCGAAAAAAAGAAAAAAAAAAAGAAAAAGAAAAAAAAAGAGUUCUAGAGAAUGGGACAGGGGACAUACCUCUACAUAAUAAAGGAUAUGACACAAGCCCACAGUCAACAUCAAACUAAAUGGAAUAUUUCCACUGAAAUCAGGAAUAAGACAAGACAAGAGUAUCCCCUCUCUCCUCUCCUGUUCAAUAUAGUGCUUAUUUUCUUAGCUAGAGCAGUAAGACAGGAGAGAGAUAAAAGAAGCAACCGAAAAGGAAAGGAAAAUGUCAAAAUACCCAAUUCAUAGCUGGUAAACACAUUCAAAAAGCCUAUUAGGAUACAAAAUUACCACACGAAAAACCAUCUUCCUAUAUGCAAACAGAAAAUACUAGAAAGAAAUCAAGAAAUCAUUAUUCACAAUUACUUCACCCCUCCCUC
rnacentral:lncRNA from 1 species